AUUGAACGCUAGCGGGAUGCUUUACACAUGCAAGUCGAACGGUAGCACGAAGAAAGCUUGCUUUCUUUGGUGACGAAUGGCGAACGGGUGAGUAAUGUAUCGGAACGUACCCAGUAGCGGGGGAUAACUACGCGAAAGCGUGGCUAAUACCGCAUACGCCCUACGGGGGAAAGGGGGGGAUCGCAAGACCUCUCACUAUUGGAGCAGCCGAUAUCGGAUUAGCUAGUUGGUGGGGUAAAGGCCCACCAAGGCGACGAUCCGUAGCUGGUUUGAGAGGACGACCAGCCACACUGGGACUGAGACACGGCCCAGACUCCUACGGGAGGCAGCAGUGGGGAAUUUUGGACAAUGGGGGCAACCCUGAUCCAGCCAUCCCGCGUGUGCGAUGAAGGCCUUCGGGUUGUAAAGCACUUUUGGCAGAGAAGAAACGACUCUGGAUAAUACCCGGGGUUAAUGACGGUAUCUGCAGAAUAAGCACCGGCUAACUACGUGCCAGCAGCCGCCGCGGUAA
rnacentral:rRNA from 1 species